CCUACGGGUGGCAGCAGUGAGGAAUAUUGGUCAAUGGCCGAGAGCCUGAACCAGCCAAGUAGCGUGAAGGAUGACUGCCCUACGGGUUGUAAACUUCUUUUAUAUGGGAAUAAAGUGAGCCACGUGUGGCUUUUUGUAUGUACCUUAUGAAUAAGGAUCGGCUAACUCCGUGCCAGCAGCCGCGGUAAUACGGAGGAUCCGAGCGUUAUCCGGAUUUAUUGGGUUUAAAGGGAGCGUAGGUGGAUUGUUAAGUCAGUUGUGAAAGUUUGCGGCUCAACCGUAAAAUUGCAGUUGAAACUGGAAGUCUUGAGUACAGGAGAGGUAGGCGGAAUGCGUGGUGUAGCGGUGAAAUGCUUAGAUAUCACGAAGAACUCCGAUUGCGAAGGCAGCUUACUGGACUGCAACUGACACUGAUGCUCGAAAGUGUGGGUAUCAAACAGGAUUAGAUACCCCAGUAGUC
rnacentral:rRNA from 1 species